rnacentral:tRNA from 1 species
GGGUCGAUGCCCGAGCGGUUAAUAGGGACGGACUGUAAAUUCGUUGACGAUAUGUCUACGCUGGUUCAAAUCCAGCUCGGCCCA